AGAAUGAAGUCCUCAAUGAUUCGGACCAAAGUUGACUUCUUUUAUAUGUUCACACCUUGGAGAGUGUUAGGUGGCUGUUACCUGGGAAGACCAGCCCUUUUCCUGUGCACAGCUUGAAGUGUGUGAGGAGACAAUCUCCAAUUAAAUUGAACACCCCCACAAGGAAUUCUGUGGAAUAGGUCCUAAAGGCCACUGCCCUGAAUUUGAAAGGACUCGUUUAUGCCCUAAUGUUGAUGAGGUGUGAGAAACAACCAUUCUAAAGCAACACGGACUGUGUCUUUCUGUUCAGACCCACUUGGGUUCAUGUCCCGGUGUGUGAACUUGGGAAGCAAUAAUCUCUUGUUUUAAAACAAUGUCUUUGUAAAGCUACGGGAAAUAAAUGAGCUGUCUCUUCCUGCGAUGCCAAGUUGAAUGACGAUUUUACUUAAAGUUGAACUCAACAGAAAACACUGACACAAUUCAAAACAUGCUCAAAGAUGCUCUUACAAAGAUAUACUCGAAUCUUUUAUACAAUGUAAGACAUAUGAGAAAAUAUUGAUUGACUUCUCCUUGUCAGUAUGGAAACGUACUCUUUCAAACAAGAGGAAAAAUAAAUACUAUCUUAGACACAGCAGAAGAAGGAAUUGACUCUUACAUCCAGUAUUUAUGACUAUCCCUAGCUUCUAUUUUGACUUCUAAGCUAUGCUUCCUUAAUGAAUGGAGG